rnacentral:rRNA from 1 species
CCUACGGGGUGCAGCAGGCGCGAAACCUCCGCAAUGCGGGCAACCGCGACGGGGGGACCCCGAGUGCCGUCGGGGCAAAGCUCCGGCGGCUGUACCGGGGUGUAAAAAGCCCCGGGUAGAAAGCGGCGGGCAAGACCGCUGCCAGCCGCCGCGGUAAUAGCGGCGCCGCAAGUGGUGGCCGCUUUUAUUGGGCCUAAAGGGGCCGUAGCCGGUCCCGUGGGUCCCCGCCGAAAGCCCGCGGCUUACCCGCGGGAGUCGGCGGGGAAACUGCGGGACUUGGGACCGGGAGAGGCCGGAGGUACCCCCGGAGUAGGGGUGAAAUCCUGUCAUCCCGGGGGGACCGCCAGUGGCGAAGGCGUCCGGUUGGAACGGGUCCGACGGUGAGGGCCGAAAGCCGGGGGAGCAAACCGGAUUAGAUACCCGGGUAGUCCCGGCUGUAAACGAUGCGGACUAGGUGUUGGGGCGGCCACGAGCCGCCCCAGUGCCGUAGGGAAGCCGUUAAGUCCGCCGCCUGGGGAGUACGGCCGCAAGGCUGAAACUUAAAGGAAUUGGCGGGGGAGCACCACAACCGGUGGAGCCUGCGGUUUAAUUGGAUUCAACGCCGGAAACCUUACCGGGGGCGACAGCAGGAUGAAGGCCAGGUUGACGGCCUUGCCGGACGAGCUGAGAGGAGGUGCAUGGCCGCCGUCAGCUCGUGCCGUGAGGUGUCCUGUUAAGUCAGGUAACGAGCGAGACCCCCACCCGCAGUUGCCAGCGGGCCCCGUAAGGGGCGCCGGGCACUCUGCGGGGAUCGCCGCCGAUAAGGCGGAUGAAAGUGGGGGCGACGGCAGGUCCGUAUGCCCCGAAACCCCCGGGCUACACGCGGGCUACAAUGGCGGGGACAAUGGGAUCCGACCCCGAAAGGGGAAGGAAAUCCCAUAAACCCCGUCGUAGUUCGGAUUGCGGGCUGCAACUCGCCCGCAUGAAGGUGGAAUCGGUAGUAACCGUGCCUCAGAAUGGCACGGUGAAUACGUCCCUGCUCCUUGCACACACCGCCCGUC